rnacentral:rRNA from 1 species
AUGGAGCCCGGCCAGUGCGAGAUCGCGCGCCUGCCGGAGGAGAUCCUGUCGGCGGCGCUCUCCCGCACGUCGCCGCGCGACGCCUGCCGCGCCACCGCGGUCUCCCCGGCGUUCCGCGCCGCCGCCGACUCCGACGCCGUCUGGGCCUGCUUCCUGCCGCCGCCCGCCGCCCUCCCGCCGCUGGCCGACGGAGAGCUGCUUCCGCCGCCGCCGCGCGGGAAGAAGGACCUGUUCCUCCGCCUCUCCGGCAGCCCCGUCCUCCUCCCAGGCGGACUGAGCAUGUGGCUGGACAGGGCGAGCGGCGCCAAGUGCUACAUGGUGCCGGCGAGGGACCUGUCCAUCGCGUGGCGCGACACGCCGCGCUACUGGUCCUGGAUCCAUCUCACCGACUCGAGGUUCCCUGAGAGUGCUCAACUCAGGUUCGUUUGCUGGUUGGAAAUCCACGGCAAGAUACACAGCAAGUUGCUAUCCCGAGGCUCAGCUUACGCCACUUACAUGGUGUACAAGUUGGACGACGAGUCCUACGGGCUGGAUUGGCCGGCCGAUGCAUCAGUGAGCAUUGGAGGCACCGACCUUGCCCGCAAGGUCUGCCUCCAACCUAACCCGCAAAGAAGCCAUGCAGAGGAUGUAGUGCUCCCUCGUGAAAGGGGUGAUGGUUGGAUGGAGCUGGAGCUAGGAGAGUUUGUCUGUGAGGGGGAUGAAGAUGGCGACGUUUCCUUCGGCCUGGCGGAGACGAAACGUUUGAACGGUAAGGGCGGUCUCAUCAUGCAGGGAAUCGAGAUAAGGCAUAAGAAUUAA